AGUGAACGCUGGCGGUAGGCCUAACACAUGCAAGUCGAACGGCAGCACAGUAAGAGCUUGCUCUUACGGGUGGCGAGUGGCGGACGGGUGAGGAAUACAUAGGCAUCUACUUUUUCGUGGGUGAUAACGUAGGGAAACUUACGCUACUACCGCAUACGACCUACGGGUGAAAGCAGUGGAUCUUCGGACCUUGCGCGAUUGAAUGAGCCGAUGUCGGAUUAGCUAGUUGGCGGGGUAAAGGCCCACCAAGGCGACGAUCCGUAGCUGGUCUGAGAGGAUGAUCAGCCACACUGGAACUGAGACACGGUCCAGACUCCUACGGGAGGCAGCAGUGGGGAAUAUUGGACAAUGGGCGCAAGCCUGAUCCAGCCACACCGCGUGGGUGAAGAAGGCCUUCGGGUUGUAAAGCCCUUUUGUUGGGAAAGAAAAGCAGUAGGUUAAUACCCCGCUGUUCUGACGGUACCCAAAGAAUAAGCACCGGCUAACUUCGUG
rnacentral:rRNA from 1 species